rnacentral:misc_RNA from 1 species
AAGUCGUAACAAGGUUUCCGUAGGUGAACCUGCGGAAGGAUCAUUCUUGAAUUUGGACUUGAUGUCCUUAAUCUUUAAAUCCUUUGACACCUGUGAACCGUUGGCCCUCGGGCCUAUUUACAAACAUCAGUGUAAUGAACGUAAGAUGCAUAAUGAAUAAUAAAACUUUCAACAACGGAUCUCUUGGCUCUC